rnacentral:rRNA from 1 species
UACGGAGGGAGCUAGCGUUGUUCGGAAUUACUGGGAGUAAAGCGCACGUAGGCGGCUUUGUAAGUUAGAGGUGAAAGCCCGGGGCUCAACUCCGGAACUGCCUUUAAGACUGCAUCGCUUGAAUCCAGGAGAGGUGAGUGGAAUUCCGAGUGUAGAGGUGAAAUUCGUAGAUAUUCGGAAGAACACCAGUGGCGAAGGCGGCUCACUGGACUGGUAUUGACGCUGAGGUGCGAAAGCGUGGGGAGCAAACAGG